GGUAGGGCGUGUGACUGGCGGAUAGUGGAGCAACCACAGGGAGCACGCAGUACCAUGAACUAUUUUGAGCCGACCGCCUGGGCACGCAUG
rnacentral:ncRNA from 21 species